AAAAAAAAAAAAAAAAGUUAUUUUCUCACACCAACAGUCCUAAUUGCCACCUCAUCACUUUUCUAGCAUCACUCACUGUCCAGUCCUAAAAACAAUGACACUUGCUUUACAUUUUCUUCAGUAGCACCCUACUCAUGGUACUAACUUUGGUAUCAGUUAUCUAUGGCUAUUUGGAAUAAUGAAUAUUACAAAACUUAACAACUUAAAACAACUAUGGUAUAUGAUCUGGUGGUUACAGUUUCUGUUUAGGGUGAUGCAAAAGUUCUGGAAAUAGAUUAUGAUUAUGCUACACCAUAUAAUGAAUGUAAAUAAUGCCUCUGAAUUGUACACUUAAUGGCAAAUUUUUUGUUAAUAUGUAUUCUACCACAAUAAAAAAAUUGUUAGAGGUGUUAACAGUAGAGGAAUGGAUAUGUAAACUAUGGAACAUCAUUCAAUUGAAUACUAUGAUCUUAUUAAUAUGAUUACCAUUUAAUUAAUCAUUAGGAAGCCAUUAAAAUCUUGUAAAAGAAUACUGAGGUAGAAAAUGUUAACGAUAUUGUAACAUCAUUCUGUGGCUCUCCAAAGCAUAUAUAAAUACAGAGAGAUUUAUUUUAAGGAAUUGGCUCAUGGGAUUGUAAGAGUUGGCAAGUUCAAAAUUUGUAGAACAGGCCAGGAGGCUAGAAACUCAGGCAAAGAUUGAUGUUGCAAUCUUAAGUUUAAAAUUUGUAAUACCAGAUGGUAGGCUGGAAACUCAGGCAGGAAACCUCAGCAUUUGUUCUUUAGGCUUUCAACUAAUCGGACAAGGUACACCCACAUCAUCAAAGGUGAUCAUUCAGGGACACAGCCUCCUUCCAUCUUACAAGCAUUUCUCAACUCCCAGGGUGUCACUGUCAUCUGCAGCCAGC
rnacentral:lncRNA from 1 species